rnacentral:rRNA from 1 species
ACCGGCAGCUCAAGUGGUGGCCAUUUUUAUUGGGCCUAAAGCGUUCGUAGCCGGUUUGAUAAGUCUCUGGUGAAAUCCCGCAGCUUAACUGUGGGACUUGCUGGAGAUACUAUUAGACUUGAGGUCGGGAGAGGUUAGGGGUACUCCCAGGGUAGGGGUGAAAGCAUAUAACCCUGGGAGGACCACCUAUGGCGAAGGCGGCUAACGGGAACGAACCUGACGUUGAGUAACGAAUUCCAGUAGCGUGCGUAG